CUGAGUUCUGUUCAUACUGAGAUACUGCUGCACACAUCUGCCCUCCUCCAGUCCUCCCUCCACCACUUCACCCUCCUCCAGUCCUCCCUCCACCACUUCAGCCUCCUCCAGUCCUCCCUCCACCACUUCACCCUCCUCCAGUCCUCCCUCCACCACUUCACCCUCCUCCAGUCCUCCCUCCACCACUUCACCCUCCUCCAGUCCUCCAGUCCUCCCUCCACCACUUCACCCUCCUCCAGUCCUCCCUCCACCACUUCACCCUCCUCCAGUCCUCCCUCCACCACUUCAGCCUCCUCCAGUCCUCCCUCCACCACUUCAUCCUCCUCCAGUCCUCCAGUCCUCCCUCCACCACUUCAGCCUCCUCCAGUCCUCCCUCCACCACUUCACCCUCCUCCAGUCCUCCCUCCACCACUUCACCCUCCUCCAGUCCUCCCUCCACCACUUCACUCUCCUCCAGUCCUCCCUCCACCACUUCACCCUCCUCCAGUCCUCCCUCCACCAUUUCACCCUCCUCCAGUCCUCCGUCCACCACUUCAUCCUCCUCCAGUCCUCCAGUCCUCCCUCCACCACUUCAGCCUCCUCCAGUCCUCCCUCCACCACUUCACCCUCCUCCAGUCCUCCAGUCCUCCCUCCACCACUUCACCCUCCUCCAGUCCUCCAGUCCUCCCUCCACCACUUCAGCCUCCUCCAGUCCUCCCUCCACCACUUCACUCUCCUCCAGUCCUCCCUCCACCACUUCACCCUCCUCCAGUCCUCCCUCCACCAUUUCACCCUCCUCCAGUCCUCCGUCCACCACUUCACCAUCCUCCAGUCCUCCCUCCACCACUUCACCCUCCUCCAGUCCUCCAGUCCUCCCUCCACCACUUCACCCUCCUCCAGUCCUCCAGUCCUCCCUCCACCACUUCACCCUCCUCCAGUCCUCCCUCCACCACUUCACCCUCCUCCAGUCUUCCGUCCACCACUUCACCCUCCUCCAGUCCUCCCUCCACCACUUCACCCUCCUCCAGUCCUCCCUCCACCACUUCAGCCUCCUCCAGUCCUCCCUCCACCACUUCACCCUCCUCCAGUCCUCCAGUCCUCCCUCCACCACUUCAUCCUCCUCCAGUCCUCCCUCCACCACUUCACCCUCCUCCAGUCCUCCCUCCACCACUUCACCCUCCUCCAGUCCUCCCUCCACCACUUCACCCUCCUCCAGUCCUCCCUCCACCACUUCACCCUCCUCCAGUCCUCCCUCCACCACUUCACCCUCCUCAAGUCCUCCCUAAUCCAGUCCUCCACUCCUCCCUCCACCAAUUCACCCUUCUCAAUAUAAACCUGUAA
rnacentral:lncRNA from 1 species